rnacentral:rRNA from 1 species
GUGCAGCCGCCGCGGUAAUACCGGCAGCCCGAGUGAUGGCCGAUCUUAUUGGGCCUAAAGCGUCCGUAGCUGGCUGCGCAAGUCCGUCGGGAAAUCCACUCGCUUAACGAGUGGGCGUCCGGCGGAAACUGUGCGGCUUGGGACCGGAAGAUCCAAGGGGUACGUCCGGGGUAGGAGUGAAAUCCCGUAAUCCUGGACGGACCACCGAUGGCGAAAGCACCUUGGAAGGACGGAUCCGACAGUGAGGGACGAAAGCUAGGGUCUCGAACCGGAUUAGAUACCCUGGUAGUCC